rnacentral:rRNA from 1 species
GGAGCUUGCUCCACCGGAAAAAGAAGAGUGGCGAACGGGUGAGUAACACGUGGGUAACCUGCCCAUCAGAAGGGGAUAACACUUGGAAACAGGUGCUAAUACCGUAUAACAAUCGAAACCGCAUGGUUUUGAUUUGAAAGGCGCUUUCGGGUGUCGCUGAUGGAUGGACCCGCGGUGCAUUAGCUAGUUGGUGAGGUAACGGCUCACCAAGGCCACGAUGCAUAGCCGACCUGAGAGGGUGAUCGGCCACAUUGGGACUGAGACACGGCCCAAACUCCUACGGGAGGCAGCAGUAGGGAAUCUUCGGCAAUGGACGAAAGUCUGACCGAGCAACGCCGCGUGAGUGAAGAAGGUUUUCGGAUCGUAAAACUCUGUUGUUAGAGAAGAACAAGGAUGAGAGUAACUGUUCAUCCCUUGACGGUAUCUAACCAGAAAGCCACGGCUAACUACGUGCCAGCAGCCGCGGUAAUACGUAGGUGGCAAGCGUUGUCCGGAUUUAUUGGGCGUAAAGCGAGCGCAGGCGGUUUCUUAAGUCUGAUGUGAAAGCCCCCGGCUCAACCGGGGAGGGUCAUUGGAAACUGGGAGACUUGAGUGCAGAAGAGGAGAGUGGAAUUCCAUGUGUAGCGGUGAAAUGCGUAGAUAUAUGGAGGAACACCAGUGGCGAAGGCGGCUCUCUGGUCUGUAACUGACGCUGAGGCUCGAAAGCGUGGGGAGCAAACAGGAUUAGAUACCCUGGUAGUCCACGCCGUAAACGAUGAGUGCUAAGUGUUGGAGGGUUUCCGCCCUUCAGUGCUGCAGCUAACGCAUUAAGCACUCCGCCUGGGGAGUACGACCGCAAGGUUGAAACUCAAAGGAAUUGACGGGGGCCCGCACAAGCGGUGGAGCAUGUGGUUUAAUUCGAAGCAACGCGAAGAACCUUACCAGGUCUUGACAUCCUUUGACCACUCUAGAGAUAGAGCUUCCCCUUCGGGGGCAAAGUGACAGGUGGUGCAUGGUUGUCGUCAGCUCGUGUCGUGAGAUGUUGGGUUAAGUCCCGCAACGAGCGCAACCCUUAUUGUUAGUUGCCAUCAUUUAGUUGGGCACUCUAGCAAGACUGCCGGUGACAAACCGGAGGAAGGUGGGGAUGACGUCAAAUCAUCAUGCCCCUUAUGACCUGGGCUACACACGUGCUACAAUGGGAAGUACAACGAGUCGCGAAGUCGCGAGGCUAAGCUAAUCUCUUAAAGCUUCUCUCAGUUCGGAUUGUAGGCUGCAACUCGCCUACAUGAAGCCGGAAUCGCUAGUAAUCGCGGAUCAGCACGCCGCGGUGAAUACGUUCCCGGGCCUUGUACACACCGCCCGUCACACCACGAGAGUUUGUAACACCCGAAGU